rnacentral:tRNA from 1 species
GGAGAGGUACCCAAGCGGCCAAAGGGGGCGGUCUGUAAAACCGCUGGCACAGCCUUCGCUGGUUCGAAUCCAGCCCUCUCCACCA